rnacentral:misc_RNA from 1 species
GAUGAAGAACGCAGCGAAAUGCGAUAAGUAAUGUGAAUUGCAGAAUUCAGUGAAUCAUCGAAUCUUUGAACGCACAUUGCGCCCGCCAGUAUUCUGGCGGGCAUGCCUGUUCGAGCGUCAUUUCAACCCUCAAACCCAGCUUGGUGUUGGGGAUCGGCACAGGCGCCCUCGGGCGCCCGCCGUCCCCUAAAUCUAGUGGCGGUCCCGCUGCAGCCUCCUCUGCGUAGUAGUUUUCUCCUCGCAAGGGCAGCUCGGUGGCGACCUCGCCGUAAAACCCCCAACUUCUGAAAGGUUGACCUCGAAUCAGGUAGGAAUACCCGCUGAACUUAAGCAUAUCAAUAAGCGGAGGA